rnacentral:lncRNA from 1 species
GGUGGCAUCACCCCUGCCAUCAAGGGGCUGCACCCCACUGAGUACUUGCCGCCCUUGGCCAAAUGCCUCAGUCAGACGCAGAUACCAACCAGCAGGGACUGGCAAGAACUGUGACAGCUGCAGGGCUGGGUGCUGCUGCUCUUGCCUUUGCAGGUCGCUGUGCGUCGCAGUCCUGGAAACCUCUAGAACAAGGAUCACAGAAGCAGUAGAGAACCUUUGAACUCCUAGCCUGUCAUCCUAUUACAAAGGAGGAUUUGAACAGAAAAUGAGUAGGAGAAAAGCUAGUGUUAUUUUAGGUGUAAGUUCACCUGCUGGCAAGGCUAAGAUUAGAGCAGCUCACAGGAGAAUCGUGAUUUUGAAUCACCCAGAUAAAGGUGGAUCUCCCUACUUAGCAACCAAAAUAAAUGAAACAGAAGAUUUGCGAGAAGCGACCACCGAUCAC